GUACACGCUGUGACUAGCAUAUCAAUAAGCGGAGGAAAAGAAACUAACGAGGAUUCCCCUAGUAACGGCGAGUGAAGCGGGAAGAGCUCAAAUUUGAAAUCUUAAAGGGUUUCCCUUUACGAAUUGUAGUUUAAAGAAGUGUUUUCUGUUGAGGUUUUGGUAAAAGUUCUUUGGAAUAGGACAUCAUAGAGGGUGAGAAUCCCGUAUUUGACCUUUACUUUCAACUUUGUGAUACACUUUCAAAGAGUCGGAUUGUUUGGGAAUGCAGUCCAAAAUGGGUGGUAAAUUUCAUCUAAAGCUAAAUAUUGGCGAGAGACCGAUAGCGAACAAGUACCGUGAGGGAAAGAUGAAAAGAACUUUGAAAAGAGAGUUAAACAGUACGUGAAAUUGUCAAAAGGGAAGCGUUUAGACACCAGUGUUGUUUUUCUGAAAAUCAAUUAAAGAACUGUUUAUGCUAAGUUGUUUAGACUUUAUCAGCUAACUGUUUAGUUUUGAGCUUUUCUUUAAUACACUUUUCAGUUAACAAGUCAACAUCAAUUUCUUUUGCUGUAAAAAAGCUUGAGGAAGGUGGCUUGAGAUUCGUCUUAAGUGUUUAUAGCCUCUUGCCUAUGCAGUCGGAGAGAUUGAGGUCUGCAGCGUAGAUCCUUCGGGGCUAAAUGCAUUUGUGCUAAGUUAUAGCAUUUUAUAGACAACUUGUUGACUAUGAUUUGUCUUGUAGCUUACUCGCUUAUGUUAUUUUACCUACGCUUAGGAUGUUGAAGAUGUAGCACAUCAU
rnacentral:rRNA from 1 species